GGAAAUAAGAGGCUUUGGGGGCUCAGGCUCAUCUGAGAGACUGAAGAACCCAGCAUUGCAGCAUCUCCGCCAUGGCCUGGGCUCCUCUGCUCCUCACCCUCCUGAGUCUCCUCACAGGGUCCCUCUCCCAGCCUGUGCUGACUCAGCCACCUUCUGCAUCGGCCUCCCUGGGAGCCUCGGUCACACUCACCUGCACCCUGAGCAGCGGCUACAGUAAUUACGCGGUGGAUUGGCACCAGCAGAGACCAGGGAAGGGCCCCCAGUUCGUGAUGCGAGUGGGCACAGGUGGGAUUGUGGGAUCCAAGGGGGAUGGCAUCCCUGAUCGCUUCUCAGGCUCGGGCUCAGGCCUGAAUCGGUACCUGACCAUCAAAAACAUCCAGGAAGAGGAUGAGAGUGACUACCACUGUGGGGCAGACCACGGCACUGGGAGCAACUUCGUGUAACCCACAGUGACACAGGCAGAGUGGAAGUGAGACAAAAACCUCCCGGCUGAUCUGCUCUGUCCACACUUCCUUCCCGCUGGCCUGACUCACAGUUCAGAGGGCUGUCUCCUAACUCUGUGUUUAGUUUUCACCUUCCUAGACAUUUUGGAGUUCUAAUUCACAGCAUAUGAUUCCUGUGUGUAAAUAUUUUCUCAAGAACUUUUGAAACAUUGAAGUUUGCACAUGAACAUUUGUGGUUUUUUGCCACUCACCUGUCCCCGAUGGGAUUUAAAUUUCCAGGUUGUAGAGCUGCUCACAGGUGCAUUUACAGGGAAAUCACUGUGACCAGCUCCCACUACCUUUGUCCAUAUUCCACAUUUGUGAGCUGCCUAUACAAUGAUGGGAACUGACAACUUCCCUGGAGACAUAAGGCCUUCACCCUGACUCACAGGGUCACGUAAUCAACGUGGACUUCAGCCGUCUCCAAUCACCUCCAUGUGCACAGAGCUCUCAUGGUGCAUGUGCUUGGCUGUCCUAGAAAGAAAGAAUUGGCACACACCAAAGAUGGGAGAAUGUGAGCCUGCUCUGUAUCUGAGAUUCUGGAAGAGGCCCCCACUGCCUUUACAGAAUGAAUUCCUUCACAUGCAGGGAGGGAGCUCUGGUGGAAUCACUCUGCAAUGCUUCCUGCACUCUGCAGUUGCUCCCUCGAGGACCCUCCUGGGCCCACACUCAGAGCAGCUCCUUCCUCAACCUCCUCUGUCCUCACGUCCCCUCUCAGGUUCCUGAAUCAGUAAUCAGGUAGGGUCUCAUCUAGCCAGAAGGGAGGGAGUGGAUUUGCAUGAACAGCUUCUUAUUUUCCCUGGGGGCAGAAGGAAAAAUAGACAAGCCUGGGGAAGCCCAGCCCCAUUGUGAGGUCCAGGGGCUGUGCCCACCAUGUCUUGUUGCCUGAACUCCUCUCAUACCCAAUCCUUGGUCAAUGAAAAUACCUCCCUUUCUACUGCCUCUUAAUGCUAACAGAAUCAUUUUGUCCCCUAAACACAAAGAGCCUUCUGGGUUUCUGGGUGGGAUGACAACUAGAGCAGAAGUCCAGCAUGCGCGACCCCCUUCCUGGCCCAUACAUGGCCCUCCUCUUGGUCUAGUCUUUGCUGGUCACUCCCUGAACUCCGAAACAUCAGGGAAGUUGAGUUUCUCUUUCUCCUGAGAUUGUACUCUUGAGGAGCUCCUGAAUUCCCAGGUAUAGGGUGACCCCUCCUCAUUAAGGACAUGGCUCUCAGACUCAUCCCUGGUUUACUUCCUCAGGUUUAGGUCUGUGAGUUCUAAACAGUUUCCCUAUGUUUCUUUGGUUGAUAUUUUGGUUGAUAUUUCCCUUUGUUUCUUUAGGUUGAUAUUAUGUUGGGUAAUUAUGUUGGU